rnacentral:rRNA from 1 species
CGGACGGGUGAGUAACGCGUGAGGAACCUGCCUCGGAGUGGGGAAUAACACAACGAAAGCUGUGCUAAUACCGCAUGAUACAGUUGGGUCGCAUGACUCUGACUGUCAAAGAUUUAUCGCUCUGAGAUGGCCUCGCGUCUGAUUAGCUAGUUGGCGGGGUAACGGCCCACCAAGGCGACGAUCAGUAGCCGGACUGAGAGGUUGACCGGCCACAUUGGGACUGAGACACGGCCCAGACUCCUACGGGAGGCAGCAGUGGGGAAUAUUGGGCAAUGGGCGCAAGCCUGACCCAGCAACGCCGCGUGAAGGAAGAAGGCUUUCGGGUUGUAAACUUCUUUUCUCAGGGACGAAGCAAGUGACGGUACCUGAGGAAUAAGCCACGGCUAACUACGUGCCAGCAGCCGCGGUAAUACGUAGGUGGCAAGCGUUAUCCGGAUUUACUGGGUGUAAAGGGCGUGUAGGCGGGAUCGCAAGUCAGAUGUGAAAACUGG